GGGAUGUGAUGAGUGGUCAUUGCUCGCAAUAGCAUUGCGAGAGGGGUGUUCGCCCCAAGCCUGGUUACGACACAGGGGCACCCUCAUUAUUACCAUUCUGAUCUC